GUGGGGUAACGGCUCACCAAGGCUCCGAUGGGUAGCCGGCCUGAGAGGGUGUCCGGCCACACUGGGACUGAGAUACGGCCCGGACUCCUACGGGAGGCAGCAGUCGAGAGGCUUCGGCAAUGGGGGAAACCCUGACCGAGCGACGCCGCGUGGAGGAUGAAGGCUUUCGGGUUGUAAACUCCUGUCAGCAGGGAAGAAACGCAGGGCGGUUAAUACCCGUCCUGCUUGACGGUACCUGCAGAGGAAGCUCCGGCUAACUCCGUGCCAGCAGCCGCGGUAAUACGGGGGGAGCAAACGUUGUUCGGAUUCACUGGGCGUAAAGGGGAAGUAGGCGGCCACGUAAGUGGGGCGUGAAAUCCUUCGGCUCAACCGAAGACCUGCGCUCCAAACUGUGUGGCUUGAGUCCGGGAGGGGAGACGGGAAUUCCUGGUGUAGCGGUGAAAUGCGCAGAUAUCAGGAAGAACACCGGCGGCGAAGGCGCGUCUCUGGACCGGUACUGACGCUGAAUUCCGAAAGCGUGGGGAGCAAACAGGAUUAGAUACCCUGGUAGUCCACGCCGUAAACGAUGGGCACUAGGUGUGGGGAGUAUCGACCCUCUCCGUGCCGCAGCUAACGCAUUAAGUG
rnacentral:rRNA from 1 species